CCUACGGGGGCAGCAGUGGGGGAUAUUGCACAAUGGGGGAAACCCUGAUGCAGCGACGCCGCGUGUGGGAAGACGGUCCUCUGGAUUGUAAACCACUGUCCCCAGGGACGAAGAUGACGGUACCUGGGGAGGAAGCUCCGGCUAACUACGUGCCAGCAGCCGCGGUAAUACGUAUGGAGCGAGCGUUGUCCGGAAUUACUGGGUGUAAGGGGAGCGUAGGCGGGACUGCAAGUUGGGUGUCAAAGCUACCGGCGCAACCGGGAGCCGAACUCAAAACUGCAGUUCUUGAGUGAAGUAGAGGCAGGCGGAAUUCCUAGUGUAGCGGUGAAAUGCGUAGAUAUUAGGAGGAACACCAGUGGCGAAGGCGGCCUGCUGGGCUUUUACUGACGCUGAGGCUCGAAAGUGUGGGGAGCAAACAGGAUUAGAUACCCCAGUAGUC
rnacentral:rRNA from 1 species